rnacentral:rRNA from 1 species
CCUACGGGAGGCUGCAGUGGGGAAUCUUAGACAAUGGGGGAAACCCUGAUCUAGCCAUGCCGCGUGAGCGAUGAAGGCCUUAGGGUUGUAAAGCUCUUUCAGCUGGGAAGAUAAUGACGGUACCAGCAGAAGAAGCCCCGGCUAACUCCGUGCCAGCAGCCGCGGUAAUACGGAGGGGGCUAGCGUUGUUCGGAAUUACUGGGCGUAAAGCGCACGUAGGCGGAUUAUUAAGUCGGGGGUGAAAUCCCGGGGCUCAACCCCGGAACUGCCUUCGAUACUGGUAGUCUUGAGGUCGAGAGAGGUGAGUGGAAUUCCGAGUGUAGAGGUGAAAUUCGUAGAUAUUCGGAGGAACACCAGUGGCGAAGGCGGCUCACUGGCUCGAUACUGACGCUGAGGUGCGAAAGCGUGGGGAGCAAACAGGAUUAGAUACCCUAGUAGUC